rnacentral:snoRNA from 1 species
UUUUACCUUGAGAGAACAUUUUGAAACGGUUUGAGGCCUUGCCCUGCUGCAUCCAGAGUAAGGUUAUAGAAAUUUCAGACAGUC